rnacentral:rRNA from 1 species
AUGGAGGCCAGACGACAGUGUCACCGCGUGUCGCCCCUGCUGCUGGUGCUGCUGGCGGUGGUGAUCACGGCCGGGCGCUGCGGCGCGCAGGUGCCGGUCCCGGCGAGGACGGACGGGUUCGUGUACGGUGGGCAGGCGUGGGCGCCGGCGUGGGGCGAGGCGGUGGUCGUCGAGGCCUUCUUCGACCCGCUCUGUCCCGACAGCCGCGACGCCUGGCCGCCGCUGCGGAGGGCCGCCGACCACUUCGGCGCCCGCCGCGUCGCCGUCGUCGUCCACCUCUUCCCGCUCCCUUACCACAGCAGCUCCUUCAUUGCUUGCCGGUCGAUCCACGCGGUGCACAAGCUAAAUGCGUCAGCUGCGUAUCCCCUGCUCGAAAAGUUCUUCAAAUACCAGGAGGGUUAUUACAACACGCCGACAUACACCAAAACAAGAGCGGCGGUGGUCGCCAAAAUAGCAAACAACCUUGUCGCCCCCGUCAUCGGCGAAGCCAAUUUGGCUGCAUACAGAGCGGGCUUCAACGACUCGCGGUCGGAUCAGGCCGCAAGGAUUUCCUUCAAGUUUGGUUGUGCACGAGGUGUCACCGGGACACCCUACUACUUUGUUAAUGGCAUACCACUCGUCGACCUUGAUUUUCCUCUGGACUAUGACAAGUGGGUAUCCACACUUGAUCCGCUGGUUGGCAAGAUGUAG